GAUGAACGCUGGCGGCGUGCUUAACACAUGCAAGUCGAACGGGAAACCUUUUAUUGAAGCUUCGGCAGAUUUUGCUGGUUUCUAGUGGCGGCCGGGUGAGUAACGCGUGGGUAACCUGCCUUAUACAGGGGGAUAACAGUCAGCAAUGCCUGCUAAUACCGCAUAAGCGCACAGAGCUGCAUGGCUCAGUGUGAAAAACUCCGGUGGUAUAAGAUGGACCCGCGUUGGAUUAGCUGGUUGGUGGGGUAACGGCCCACCAAGGCGACGAUCCAUAGCCGGCCCGAGAGGGUGAACGGCCACAUUGGGACUGAGACACGGCCCAGACUCCUACGGGAGGCAGCAGUGGGGAAUAUUGCACAAUGGGGGAAACCCUGAUGCAGCGACGCCGCGUGAAGGAAGAAGUAUCUCGGUAUGUAAACUUCUAUCAGCCGGGAAGAUAAUGACGGUACCUGACGAAGAAGCCCCGGCUAACUACGUG
rnacentral:rRNA from 1 species